AAUGAACGCUGGCGGCGUGCUUAACACAUGCAAGUCGAUCGAGAAAGUUCUUCGGAACUAGUAAAGUGGCAAACGGGUGAGUAGCGCGUGAGAAUUUACCUUUUAGUGAAGGAUACUCCCGAGAAAUCGGGGUUAAUACUGCAUAAGUCUCGAAAGAGAGAAAGGCGGCCUCUUUGCUGUCGCUAAAAGAUAAGCUUGCGUCCUAUUAGUUAGUUGGUGUGGUAAAGGCGCACCAAGGCAAUGAUGGGUAACCGGCCUGAGAGGGUGUACGGUCACACUGGAACUGAGACACGGUCCAGACUCCUACGGGAGGCAGCAGUGGGGAAUAUUGCACAAUGGGCGAAAGCCUGAUGCAGCGACGCCGCGUGAGGGAUGAAGGCCUUCGGGUUGUAAACCUCUUUUAGUAGGGAAGAAGCGAAAGUGACGGUACCUACAGAAAAAGCACCGGCUAACUCCGUGCCAGCCGCCGCGGUAA
rnacentral:rRNA from 1 species